rnacentral:rRNA from 1 species
CGGGUGAGUAACACGUGGGCAACCUGCCCAAAAGAGGGGGAUAACACUUGGAAACAGGUGCUAAUACCGCAUAACCAUAGUUACCGCAUGGUAACUAUGUAAAAGGUGGCUAUGCUACCGCUUUUGGAUGGGCCCGCGGCGCAUUAGCUAGUUGGUGGGGUAAAGGCUUACCAAGGCAAUGAUGCGUAGCCGAACUGAGAGGUUGAUCGGCCACAUUGGGACUGAGACACGGCCCAAACUCCUACGGGAGGCAGCAGUAGGGAAUCUUCCACAAUGGGCGAAAGCCUGAUGGAGCAACGCCGCGUGGGUGAAGAAGGUCUUCGGAUCGUAAAACCCUGUUGUUAGAGAGGAAAGUGCGUGAGAGUAACUGUUCACGUUUCGACGGUAUCUAACCAGAAAGCCACGGCUAACUACGUGCCAGCAGCCGCGGUAAUACGUAGGUGGCAAGCGUUAUCCGGAUUUAUUGGGCGUAAAGGGAACGCAGGCGGUCUUUUAAGUCUGAUGUGAUAGCCUUCGGCUUAACC